UACAGAGGUCUCAAGCGUUGUUCGGAUUCAUUGGGCGUAAAGGGUGCGUAGGCGGCGCGGUAAGUCGGGUGUGAAAUUUCGAGGCUUAACUUCGAAACUGCAUUCGAUACUGCCGUGCUUGAGGACUGGAGAGGAGACUGGGAAUUUACGGUGUAGCGGUGAAAUGCGUAGAUAUCGUAAGGAAGACCAGUGGCGAAGGCGGGUCUCUGGACAGUUCCUGACGCUGAGGCACGAAGGUCAGGGGAGCAAACGGG
rnacentral:rRNA from 1 species